rnacentral:lncRNA from 1 species
CUGCAUAAUAAAUUUAAUAAGUUAAUGAACUUACUAAAUAACAGGACUAUGGAAAUUCCAGCUAUUGAAUAAGCAGGCUUGAGUACCAGGAGAGUUUAGUGGAGAAAUGGUUCAGUGGGAUUCUUUGUGUUUACCUGUUGGCUGUAGCUGUUUGCUCUUCUGUGCUGAGAAGACCCUGGGACUCUGGCCUAGGUGGAAAUGAGCACUGUGGUCAGUUGGUGCUGUUUGCUUUGGAAGUGUCAUGGGAGCCUGGUGACAUGUGAGGCAUGUCUUUGACAGCCAGCCUUGAUUUAUGUGUUUAACAGUAAAUCAUAACCUCUCAGAGCCCUGAAUGUAAAAGUUCUCUGAGUUAGAUCCUGUGAUAAAAAAUUCAGAAAGUUAUAUCUACCCCACCUUUUGUCUAUUACAACUGUCUUGUACAUUUAAUUUUGUGGUUGAAGUCAAGGGUGCAGAUCUAAUUUCAUUCAUUUUUAGGCUAAUUAACACUCUAGAUGCUAUGGUGAUCAAACUUCUGUCUGGAAAAUAUCUGCAACAGAGCAAAUUUUUAGAUCAUAGAAAUUUAAAAAUAUGUAUCAUCUCCAUGUGCCCUGAG